rfam:Myotis lucifugus cont2.12206, whole genome shotgun sequence.
AGAAGUUCUUGGGUGACACACCCUGGAAUUGGGCUCCCUCCUCUCUGGUUCCAGGAUGUGUCACACAAGAACUGCC